UCCAGACUCCUACGGGAGGCAGCAGUGAGGAAUAUUGGUCAAUGGGCGGGAGCCUGAACCAGCCAAGUCGCGUGAAGGAAGAAGGUCCUUAGUAUUGUAAACUUCUUUUGUCGGGGAACAAAGGCGGAGACGCGUCUCCGGAUGAGUGUACCCGAAGAAAAAGCAUCGGCUAACUCCGUGCCAGCAGCCGCGGUAAUACGGAGGAUGCGAGCGUUAUCCGGAUUUAUUGGGUUUAAAGGGUGCGCAGGCGGGAGAUCAAGUCAGCGGUAAAAUGUCGGGGCUCAACCCCGGCCGGCCGUUGAAACUGGCAGUCUCGAGUUGGAGAGAAGUAUGCGGAAUGCGCGGUGUAGCGGUGAGAUGCAUAGAUAUCGCGCAGAACUCCGAUUGCGAAGGCAGCAUGCCGGCUCCACACUGACGCUGAGGCACGAAAGCGUGGGUAUCGAACAGGAUUAGAUACCCGGGUACG
rnacentral:rRNA from 1 species